rnacentral:rRNA from 1 species
CCCUUAGAUGUUCUGGGCCGCACGCGCGCUACACUGAUGCAUUCAACGAGUCUAAAACCUGCUCUGAUAGGGGUGGGUAAUCUUUUGAAUGUGCAUCGUGAUUGGGAUAGAUGAUUGCAAUUUUUCAUCUUCAACGAGGAAUGCCUAGUAAACGCAAGUCAUCAGCUUGCAUUGAUUACGUCCCUGCCCUUUGUACACACCGCCCGUCGCUCCUACCGAUUGAAUGAUCCGAUGAAUAUCAUGGAUUGAGGAUGUAAGCAGGUUCGCCUGUCCUCAUCUUCGAGAAGUGAAGUAAAUCUUAUCAUUUAGAGGAAGGAGAAGUCGUAACA